rnacentral:misc_RNA from 1 species
AAGGAUCAUUAUUGAAUAAACCUGGUGGGUUGUCGCUGGCUCUUCGGAGCAUGUGCACACUCGCCAUCUUUAUCCAUCCACCUGUGCACCAUGUGUAGUCCUGAGGGUAAAUGGAGUUGCUGCCGGCAAAUCCAUCCUCGCAGGUCUAUGUCUUUUAUAUAAACCACGUAACAUGUCAAUGAAUGCAUUUGAUGGGCCUCUGCGCCUAUAAAAACUAUAAUACAACUUUCAGCAACGGAUCUCUUGGCUCUC